rnacentral:rRNA from 1 species
AUCAACAUCCUUCCUAUUAUAUUCUAAAUAUAUAGGAAAUUUUACUUUGAGAAAAUUAGAGUGCUUAAAGCAGGCAACUGCCUUGAAUACUCCAGCAUGGAAUAAUAAGUAAGGACUUUUGUCUUUCUUAUUGGUUCUAGGACAAAAGUAAUGGUUAAUAGGGACAGUUGGGGGCAUUCGUAUUUAACAGCCAGAGGUGAAAUUCUUAGAUUUGUUAAAGACGAACUACUGCGAAAGCAUUUGCCAAGGAUGUUUUCAUUAAUCAAGAACGAAAGUUAGGGGAUCGAAGACGAUCAGAUACCGUCGUAGUC